UACGUAGGGUGCAAGCAUUAAUCGGAUUUAUUGGGCGUAAAGGGCGCGUAGGCGGUGGGGAAAGUUAAUUGUGAAAUCCCGGGGCUCAACCCCGGAACUGCAUUGAAUACUACAUCCCUAGAGGGUAGGCGGAGAAAACGGAAUUCCACAAGUAGCGGUGAAAUGCGUAGAUAUGUGGAAGAACACCAGUGGCGAAGGCGGUUUUCUAGCUUAUACCUGACGCUGAGGCGCGAAAGCUAGGGGAGCAAACAGG
rnacentral:rRNA from 1 species